rnacentral:rRNA from 1 species
GACGAACGCUGGCGGCGUGCCUAAUACAUGCAAGUUGAGCGCUGAAGGCUGGUACUUGUACCAACUGGUUGAGCAGCGGACGGGUGAGUAACGCGUGGGGAAUCUGCCUUUGAGCGGGGGACAACAUUUGGAAACGAAUGCUAAUACCGCAUAAAAACUUUAAACACAAGUUUUAAGUUUGAAAGAUGCACUUGCAUCACUCAAAGAUGAUCUCGCGUUGUAUUAGCUAGUUGGUGAGGUAAAGGCUCACCAAGGCGAUGAUACAUAGCCGACCUGAGAGGGUGAUCGGCCACAUUGGGACUGAGACACCGCCCCAACUCCUACGGGAGGCAGCAGUAGGGAAUCUUCGGCAAUGGACGAAAGUCCGACCGAGCAAAGCCGCGUGAGAGAAGAAGGUUGUCGGAUAGUAAAACUCGGUGUGUAGAGAAGAACGUGGGUGAGGGUGGAAUGCGCAGCAAGUGACGGUAACUACUCAGAAAGGGACGGCUAACUACGUG